rnacentral:rRNA from 1 species
ACGGGUGAGUAAUGCUUAGGAAUCUGCCUAUUAGUGGGGGACAACAUCUCGAAAGGGAUGCUAAUACCGCAUACGUCCUACGGGAGAAAGCAGGGGACCUUCGGGCCUUGCGCUAAUAGAUGAGCCUAAGUCGGAUUAGCUAGUUGGUGGGGUAAAGGCCUACCAAGGCGACGAUCUGUAGCGGGUCUGAGAGGAUGAUCCGCCACACUGGGACUGAGACACGGCCCAGACUCCUACGGGGGGCAGCAGUGGGGAAUAUUGGACAAUGGGGGGAACCCUGAUCCAGCCAUGCCGCGUGUGUGAAGAAGGCCUUUUGGUUGUAAAGCACUUUAAGCGAGGAGGAGGCUACCGAGAUUAAUACUCUUGGAUAGUGGACGUUACUCGCAGAAUAAGCACCGGCUAACUCUGUGCCAGCAGCCGCGGUAAUACAGAGGGUGCAAGCGUUAAUCGGAUUUACUGGGCGUAAAGCGCGCGUAGGUGGCCAAUUAAGUCAAAUGUGAAAUCCCCGAGCUUAACUUGGGAAUUGCAUUCGAUACUGGUUGGCUAGAGUAUGGGAGAGGAUGGUAGAAUUCCAGGUGUAGCGGUGAA